CGACGGGUAGCGGGUCUGAGAGGAUGAUCCGCCCGAGUGGGACUGAGACACGGCCCACACACCUACGGGUGGCAGCAGUUGGGAAUCUUGCACAAUGGGGGAAACCCUGAUGCAGCGACGCCGCGUGGAGGAUGAAGGAUCUAGGUCUGUAAACUCCUUUUAUCGGGAAAGACUUAGGACGGUACCCGAUGAAUAAGCACCGGCUAACUACGUGCCAGCAGCCGCGGUAAGACGUAGGGUGCGAGCGUUGUCCGGAUUUACUGGGCGUAAAGGACGCGUAGGCGGCCUGUUUAGUGUGAAGUGAAAUCUCCAGAGCUCAACUCGGAAACUGCUUCGCAUACUGGCAGGCUAGAGGGAUGCAGAGGUAGCUAGAAUUCCUGGUGUAGCGGUGAAAUGCAUUGAUAUCAGGAGGAAUACCCAUGGCGAAGGCAGGCUACUGGGCAUCAUCUGACGCUGAGGCGUGAAAGCGUGGGUAGCAAACAGGAUUAGAUACCCUGGUAGUCCACGCCCUAAACGAUGGAUACUAGACGUAAGAGGUCUCGACCCCUCUUGU
rnacentral:rRNA from 1 species